GGGGGGGGGGGGGGGGGGGGGGGGGGGGGGGAGGUCGGGGGAGCGGGCGGGGCGCGGGCGUUUCUGGUGUUAGCGGCGGAGGGGUGAGUCACGCGGGGAUAGCCUACGGGUAGGACUGGGAUCACUGCGGGAACCCGGAGCUAACACCGGAUAGUAUUUUGACCCGCAUGGUUCCAACGUGGAAGACGGUCUUGCUGUCACUUAUAGAUGGAGCCGCGCUGCACUAGCUAGUUGGUACGGUCACGGCUUACCAAGGCAACGAUGCAUAGCCGAACUCAGAGGGUGAUCGGCCACACUGGAACGGAGACACGGGCCAGACUCCUACGGGAGGCAGCAGUAGGGAAGCGUCCGCAAUGGGCGAAAGCCUGACGGAGCAACGCCGCGUGAGUGAUGAAGGUCUUCGGAUCGUAAAACUCUGUUAUUAGGGAAGAACAUAUGUGUAAGUAACUGUGCACAUCUUGACGGUACCUAAUCAGAAAGCCACGGCUAACUACGU
rnacentral:rRNA from 1 species